rnacentral:rRNA from 1 species
AUUGAACGCUGGCGGCAGGCUUAACACAUGCAAGUCGAGCGGGGUGAUGGUGCUUGCACUAUCACUUAGCGGCGGACGGGUGAGUAAUGCUUAGGAAUCUGCCUAUUAGUGGGGGACAACAUCUCGAAAGGGAUGCUAAUACCGCAUACGUCCUACGGGAGAAAGCAGGGGAUCACUUGUGACCUUGCGCUAAUAGAUGAGCCUAAGUCGGAUUAGCUAGUUGGUGGGGUAAAGGCCUACCAAGGCGACGAUCUGUAGCGGGUCUGAGAGGAUGAUCCGCCACACUGGGACUGAGACACGGGCCAGACUCCUACGGGAGGCAGCAGUGGGGAAUAUUGGACAAUGGGGGGAACCCUGAUCCAGCCAUGCCGCGUGUGUGAAGAAGGCCUUAUGGUUGUAAAGCACUUUAAGCGAGGAGGAGGCUCUUUUGGUUAAUACCCAAGAUGAGUGGACGUUACUCGCAGAAUAAGCACCGGCUAACUCUGUACCAGCCGCCGCCGCAG